AUUGAACGCUAGCGGGAUGCUUUACACAUGCAAGUCGAACGAGUGGCGGACGGGUGAGUAAUAUAUAGGAAAGUGCCCAGUAGAGGGGGAUAACUACUUGAAAGAGUGGCUAAUAACGCAUACUAUCGGAGUGGCCCAUAUCGGAUUAGCUAGUUGGUGGGGUAAAGGCUCACCAAGGCAACGCUCCGUAGCUGGUUUGAGAGGACGACCAGCAACACUGGAACUGGGAAACGGCCCAGACUCCUACGGGAGGCAGAAUGGGGGAAGUUUGGACAAUGGGGGAAACCCGGAUCCAGACAUCCCGCGUGUAGGAGAAGGCCGUCGGGUUGUAAAGUACUUUUAGCGGGGAGGCGGUAUCUGAAGAAUAAGCACCGGCUAACUACGUGCCAGCAGCCGCGGUAAUAC
rnacentral:rRNA from 1 species